AGACCUCCUGUUAACAGGGUUUGGGUAUUAGACUCUGCUGACGAGUUGUUCUCAUACCGGACAAACUAAUAUUUUCUGACGGGAUCUGGCGUCCGGGGCUGGAUCUUAAUUGUCUAGGCAUGGAGACAGUGAUCUAACAUUUUGGCAUUGUCGGCAGGAUGGAAUAACACAGAGCUAUUAUCUCCAUAAGAGCGGAGUCGGGGUUGUUUCUUGCAUGACCAGACGGUGGAAUGUCCCAGACCACUGACUCCGGGCCACGAGUGAGGACGGGGACGACUCUAGCAGGCGUCUUCUCCUGGCUUACCUACCGCAAUGCAGAGUGAGUGCGUUCUGUUUGGCAUUUCAUGGAAAUUUGAUCACUGUCAAUGACCUUUUCAGAAAUUCGCUGAGAGGUUCGAGCCUUAUCAUAAGGGGGACAGUUUGUGUCGACAAACAACGGCAAACAGAAUAACAGGAACUUCAGGGAACGUCAGAGAGAGAGACGGAACUUCGCAAUCUUCAAACUCAAGAUGGUUCUUCGGGAAAAACAGAACUAACUACAGAGACGCUUGAAGAGCUUCAAGUCUCUUUAAGAACUGACUCCUGAGACAUUUAAUGGAUAGAGGCAUUCUGAGCUACGAAAGAUUUUUAUAUUGUUUAUAACACAUAUACAUGGGUAUUUUUCAUAUAUUUAUCAUACAAAAGCAAUCAGGCCAAUUCAUGAGUGGUUUAUUAUCAUCAUGCUGCAAGAUAUGGUCAAACAUGAAAUGAUGUGAAUUAACUAGAAGGUCAUAGUGAUGUAAUUUUGGUUAAAUCUCAAAGGACAAGAUCCUUAAGAGAAUUUUUCCUCAGUUCUCUCUCAAUAGUGAAAUUUCAAUGCACAUGUAUUACCAUUAUCUGAUUUGCUUUUGAAUGGUUGAAUGGUACCCUCCAAUUAACAAUUCUAGUUCAAACUGACAAACCUGACACGCAACUUGAGUAAAUACUCAGGCACAGAAACCCUGAUGCUGAGAUGGAAAGAUGCUAAAUAUGACAAAUGGCCAAAUGUGGUAAAAGUUGAAAAAGGUAAAAGCACAUGCAAUCAUAAUUGGUAAAGAAUAUGUUUUUCACAAUGAGUUUUUGGAAAUUCAAAUUGGUUUGGUUUGGAUUAAUAUUGGGACACUUUUAAAAGCUUUAGUCACUUUAAGAGUGUCAAUCAUCUUACUCUUGUACAUUUCCAUAAGAGUGUUGAUUUGCUUUAUCGGAUUACAGUUUACUGUUGUAUGACAGUACUGAUAGAAAACUGUUAAUAGUGUUUUGGGUAUUUUGGGUACCAGACAAGACCUCCUGUUAACAGGGUUUGGGUAUUAGACUACUCUGCUGACGAGUUGUUCUGAUACCGGACAAACUGAUAUUUUCUGACGGGAUC